GAAAAAUUCAAGAAACGAAUGAUUUAGCAAAUAUUUAUCAUAUAAAUGCAUAAAAAGUAUACAUUAAUAAUUCUUAAUAAUUCACCUCUUAUAUCUCGUUAAAUAAAAUGUUAAGUGCUACUUUUCUUUAUUGAGAGAUUGCUAUGCGUCACAUAUUAUUUUAGGUGCUUUACGUGUUGUCCCAUUUAAUCCUCACAUCAACCCUGUGAAAUAGGCAUUAUAAUCCAAAACUUAUAGAAAUAAAACAAAAUUUAAGAUGGUUUAGGAUGAGCAAGGUCACAAAACUGGCCCGAGGCUUUGCAGGGAUUUGACUACAAUUCUAUUCUGCACUUCUCUCAAUUUUAAGUGAGUUAGAGAAACUCAGAAAUGAGUUUUUAAGAUUUUGCUGAUGGCAUGGAGACAGUGUUAAAGACAUUUAGAGAAUUUUAGGUAGUUCAGUUUGAGAGGCAUAAGAGACCAUGUGGGGAUAGAUGAUAUUCAUACAAGGACAGUAUGUCAAAUUAAUAUUGGAUAUUAAGGGCAGGGGGAAGAAGAUGUGUUAGCUAGUAAUAGUAUGAAACCAAGAGAUCCUAGUCAAAAUUAAAUUUUUUUAAAAAGAGGAGGUAUUAUAUAAUAGUAUAAAUAUAAAAUAACAAUUAUAAGAAAAGCACAAACCUUCCUAAAUUCCAGGAGCUAUCUAUGAGUAAAGAAAGAUCUUCAUGAAUAUAAAGGGUAAACCUUUAGAGUUGUAUAGGGGAGAGAGGGAACAGGGCAGAGGAGCUAGAGAUAGAAGUUAGAAUUCUUUGAAAAUAUUUUAUUUAUAAACAUACUUUAUUAUAAUCUAGAAUACUAUAAUACUGAAUAAAAUUAAAAAGCAAAUACUAAAAUUUGGAUACAACAAAUAUAAAACAUAACUGGGUAUCAAGUUGGUACAUCACUGCACAGAGAGGAACCAUUCCAAUUUUACUAUAAAUCUUAAAUAGGUUAUAUUCUUAGGCCUAAAACUGUUUUCUUUCUAUGAUCACAUUGUUGUUGGUGGCAUUAUUCUGAAAAAGUUAUGUGUCCACUACGGAAUAAGUGAAUGAGUAAUUAUAUUAGUGUCAUUGAAAACCAGGAUUUAGAUGUGUACAAAAGAGACACAGCUAUAAUAUUUAAAAGGUUAAGUAAAUUUCUGUAUCACCAACUUCUAAUUACAAUUUCAUAAGGUAUUUUAUCUUUUAAAGAAUUAUUUCCCAGUUCUGUUCAUUAAAAAGGUAUAGAUAUAAUGAGCACUCUAGCAAUAAUGAGUACCUCUAGUUCUCAGAUUCUAGUCUCCAAGUAUCAUUUUCCACUAAAAGAAAUAAGGCUUUACGAUAAGUGACUGGUUCCAGGUCUGGAGAUCUGGAGGUCUGGGUCAUGGAAACAAAUGAGUGUUGAUCCUCUUGCCAUACCAGAAAGCAAAACAGCUAGCAAAGGCUACCAAAAUCAUGCAAAAAGGGGUCAGGUUGACUGUCAAAAGAUAAUAACUUCAAAUGGCUGGAACACAUGUUUAAAAAAAUGAGUUCUCAAUAUAUAAGCAGGUUGAGGGGGGACCCACUUUCCUCUAGAGGAGAUUAAUCAAGUAAGAAUUUUGAAAACAAGAAAAUCAAGGGAAUGAAUCAAACAUUUAAUAUGCCUUUCCUGCAAGACUCCCUGGACAAUCAAAUAGUUGACAGGAAGUGUCUGUUUUUAGAAGUGUUCUAAUUAAUAAAUGAAAAAGAAACCAUAGCAUUAAAAUAUUGUUAUUUGUACUCCCUAAUCAAUUAAUGGAUCUAGACAAGGAUCAUCAAUGGUAGGAGACAUCAUCAAAGGGGAGAUGACUAGCACUACUCGCUUUUUGGUGAAAGUUCACGGUAUCUACCUUAAAAGCACACUUGCAAAAAAAAAAAAAAAAAUAGUAAGAAAUUUAAAUGUGACCUGGAUCAAGACUCUAUGACAUAAGCAUGGAUGAAGAAAAUGUGGUUUAUAUACACAACAGAAUAUUAUUCACCCUAUAAAAGGCAAAAAUCCUGUCAUUUACAACAUGUAUGAGCCUGUAUGACAUUAAGUGAAAUAAGCUAGACACAGAAAGUUAAAACUACAUGAUCUCGCUCAUAUGGAAAAUAAAAAAGGUUUAUCUCAUAGAAAUAGAGAGUAGAAUAGUGGUUACCAAAGCCUGGAGUGGUUGGGGGCAGGGAUUGAAGAGCUGUUGGUAAAAUGAUAGAAAAUUUCAGUUAGAUAGGAGGAAUAAGUUUAAGAGCACCAUUGACUUGGAGACUAGAAUCUGAGGACUAGAGGUACUCAUAUUGCUAGAGUGCUCAUUAUAUUUAUACCUUUUUAAUGAACAGAACUGGGAAAUAAUUCUUUAAAAGAUAAAAUACCUUAUGAAAUUGCCAAUUAGAAGUUGGUGAUAUAGCAAAUUUACUUAGCCUUUUAAAUAUUAUAGCUAUGUCUCUUUUGUACACAUCAAAAUUCUGAUUUUCAAUGACACUAAUAUAAUUACUCAUUCACUUUAUUCCAUAUUGAAUACAUAACUUUUUCUGAAUAAUGCCAUCACCAACAAUGUGAUUAUAGAAAACAGUUUUAGGUCUGAGGGUAAAACCAAUUAUGAGAUUAUGAGAGCUAUUAUGACAAGGUGACUACAGUUAACAGUACACUGUAUUAUUGAAAAAAUGGGAGAGCGGAUAUAACCUAUUCUCACCACAAGACUGUGUAAGGUAAUACAUAUGUUAAUUAACCAGACUUAUUCACUCCACCAUGUUUUUAUAUUUCAAAUCAAUGUGCUAAACAUGGUCAAUAUAUAUAAUUUUAUGUUAAUAUAAGAAAUAAAAUGAAAAAAUAAAGGAAAACAUAGGUAGUUAUGUAUCUGAUUGUAAUAUUAGAAGGAAAAUAUUAAUACAAAAUGCAUUAUCUAAGGAUGUCUACAAAUCAAUACUACAAUCAAAAGUCAAACUUGACAAAAACAGGCAAACACUUGAAAUACAAAGUAUCAAUAAUAUAGACGUAUAAAAAAUGUUUUACAAAUAAAAAAACACAAUAGAAGAAAUGUCAUGACAAUGUAAGUCACUAAAAAUACAUCCAAAUGACUAAUAAUUAUUACCUAAUCUCACUAAUAAUCCAGGAAGUUAAAAUGAAAGUAGUUAUUUUUGGCAUAUACUUUUGGAAGAGUUUUAUGAUGGUAAUAUUCUUUUACUGAAUUCAUGAGAAAAUGAACAGAUACACUUUGGGUGAGGAUUUAAAUAUUUAAGCAUUUUUUUUCUUUUUUAAAGUAGACUAUGUGGCAAUAAGUUUUAAAAUGGAUGCCUUAAGUGGAUAUAUGCUUUUAGUUCAUGAAUUUCACUUCCAGAAUUUUAUGUUAAGGAAAUAAUCUAUAACUGCUUAGUGAAAUGUGUGUGUAUUGUGUAUGAAUAUAUGCCUAUGUUUAUAUACACAGUUUUGCAUAUCUAUAUAAAAACAAGAGGUGCUGUAGUAUUGAUUAUGGCAAUGAAAAUUUGAAAAUAUAAUUAUCCUCUAAUAAGGACUGGUGAAAUAAAAUAUAAUGUUAUUUUUACUAUGCACCUGCUAAAUAUGAUCAGUUUAAGUGUCAUGAAAAAACACGAGUUAUAAAAGAAUAUUCAACUGACAGUCCCAGGAUGUGGAGCUGCUAAAAAUAUUGGAAAUACAAUGUAAAAGUUCUCUUAAAGUAAAAGAAACACAAACCCUCUAAUGAAGCAUUCCAUUCCUUGGUAAAUACCCCACCAAGAGGCAUGCACAUUUAUACCAGGAGAUGUGUACAGGAAUGUUCAAGUAGUAUUAUUUAUAAUAAAUGAAAACUGGAAGCACUCCCAAUGUCCAUUGGAAAUAUAAUGGAUAUAGGGGCAUAACCACACAAUAGAGAAAUACACACAAUAAUGAUGGCCCUCACAAAAACAAAGUGAAAAAAUCCAGACACAAAAGCAUGUAUUCCAUGUGAUUCUAUUUACAUCAAGUUUAAAGAAAAACAAAGGUAUGUUGCUUAGGAGUUCAUAUUUAGGUGGUAAAACUAAGAAAACAAUGGACAUAAAAAUUACUUCAGGGUGAGUAAUUUUGGGGCAUUUCUGGGAGCUGAGACUAACACUGUUUAGUCUUCAACCUGAUUGGUGGUUGCUGAAGUACUGAUCUGAACCAUACUUUAUAUUUUGGAUAUUUUAAUAUAUAUGUAUACCUCACAAUUAAAAGAUUAAAAACUAAGGCUUCAGUUGUAGCCCAUCGAUAGAGCACUUGAUUAGCAGGUGUGAGAUACUGGGUUCCAUCCUGGAACCACAUUAAAAAAAUAAUAAUAAAGGCAUUGAGUCCAUAUACAACUAAACAAAAAUAUUUAAAAAGAUUAAGAACUAUUAAAAGGUGGUUUAAUUUUUAUGAAACUACACAGACAUGCAUGAAUGACUGUAUUUAUAUACAAAAUUGGACACAUAUGUAAAUAUAUAUAAGUAGAUGUGAUAUCUAUAUAAAUAUACUCAUAUGUAAUUUAUACUCAUAAAUGUUGAGGAAAAAUAUUCUAAAAAGCUAAAGGUAGUGUCACACUCAACAGCAACAAAGACCGAACAGCUCAAUUCAAAAUGACUAAGGAACAGAAUAAGACAUCUUUUCAAAGAGGAUGUAUGUGACCAACAAGCAUAUGAAAAAGUUCAACAUUGUUAAUCAAGGAAAUGCAAAUAAAAAGCACACUGAAAUGACACUUUUAUACAUAAAAGAAGAAACCAAGUCUUGGCAAGGAUGUGGAAAAAUUGGAACCCUUUUGCAUUACCUUGGUAAGACUAUAAAAUGGUGCAUCUGUGGAAAUUAUAAGAUGUUUCUUCAAAAAUUUAAACAUGGAAUUAUUAUCUGAUCUAGCAAUUCUACUUCUGAGUAUACACAGGACACAAAAGAAUCAAAAGUAGGAAUUUGAACAGAUAUUUGUACACCAAGAUUCCUAGCAGCAUUGCUCAUGAUAGCCCAAAAUGGAACCAACCCAAGUGUCCAUCAACCAAUGAGUGAAUAAAGAAAAUAUGAGUACAUAUAGAAGAUUGAAACUUGAUUGCUAUGUCUUACCCUGUACAAAAAUCAACUCAAGAGAGAUCAAAAGUCUAAAUGUAAGACCCGAAACUCUGAAACCACCAGAAGAAAAUAUAGGGGAAAUAUUUCAAGACAUUGGUACAGUCAAUGAUUUUCUGGAUAGGACCUAAAAAGCACAGGAAACAAAAAUGAAAAUUUACAUCAAAUGUAAAAACUUCUGCAUAGCAAAGGAAACAACAGAGUGAAGGGACAACCUACAGAAUGGGAGAAAAUAUCUGCUAGCUAUUCAUCUCAGAGAGAGUUAAUAACAGGAAUAUCAAAGGAACUCAAGAAGAAGAACAACAAAAAUAACAAAACCCCAAAGUAGUCCAAUUUAAAAAUGGGCAAAUGAUCUGAAAAGACACUUCUCAAAAGAAGAAAUACAAAUGACCAACAAAUAUAUGAUAAAAUGUUCAAUUAGCCAUUAGGGAAAUGCAAAUCAAAACUUCAGCAAGACAUUAUCUCAUCCCAUUAUCUAUCAAAAACAAAAAUUAACAAAUGCUGGUGAGAAAAAGGAACUCUUAUACACCUUUGUUGAAAAUGUAAAUUAGUUUAGUGUUUUAGUGCCCAAAAGACCUGACAAGAAUAAUUAGAAGAGGAAAAGUUUAUUUGGGGGCUCAUGGUUUCAGAGCAAUUCAUAGAUGGCUGACUCUAUUGCUCUGGGCCCAAGGUGUGGCAGAACAUGAUGGUGGAAGAAAGCAGCUCAGGACAUGAAAAUAGGAAGCAGAAAGAAAGCUCCAUUCACCAAGAACAAAACAUAUACCCUAAAGGCAUGCCCCACAAAGACCCACCUCCUCUACCCACACUGGAUCUGCCUAUAGUUACCAAUGAAUUAACCACUUUUAGGAGAUUAAUUCACUGAUUAUAUUAAAACUCUCAUACCCCAAUCACUGCCUUGAAACUUUCUUGCAUUGUCUUACACAGGAGCUUUUGGGAAACACCUAACUUCUAAACCAUAUGGAGAAUGGUAUGGAUGUUUCCCAAAAAACUAAAAACGGGUGUACCAUAUGAUCCAGCUUGUAUAUAAUAUCCAAAGGAUAUCUGAUAUCUGGAUAUAUAUCCAAAGAAAAUGAAAUCAGCAUACCAAAGAGAUACAUGCAUACCAUGUUUAUUGUGGCAUUAUUC
rnacentral:lncRNA from 1 species